UACGGAGGAUGCGAGCGUUAUCCGGAUUUAUUGGGUUUAAAGGGUGCGUAGGCGGGUUAUCAAGUCAGCGGUAAAAUCGUGGAGCUCAACUCCAUCCAGCCGUUGAAACUGAUGAUCUUGAGUGGGCGAGAAGUAUGCGGAAUGCGUGGUGUAGCGGUAAAAUGCAUAGAUAUCACGCAGAACUCCGAUUGCGAAGGCAGCAUACCGGCGCCCGACUGACGCUGAAGCACGAAAGCGUGGGUAUCGAACAGG
rnacentral:rRNA from 1 species